UACGGAGGGGGCUAGCGUUGUUCGGAAUUACUGGGCGUAAAGCGCACGUAGGCGGCUUUGUAAGUUAGAGGUGAAAGCCCAGGGCUCAACCCUGGAAUUGCCUUUAAGACUGCAUCGCUUGAACAUCGGAGAGGUAAGUGGAAUUCCGAGUGUAGAGGUGAAAUUCGUAGAUAUUCGGAAGAACACCAGUGGCGAAGGCGACUUACUGGACGAUUGUUGACGCUGAGGCGCGAAAGCGUGGGGAGCAAACGGG
rnacentral:rRNA from 1 species